CGAACCCCUUGCGUUCAAGUUCUUGUUGGCUGAAAGGUCAAUGGAGGACACUAAAAGGCUCACUGAAUGUCCACAUGGUGGCACUGCGUCUUCAAAGACAGUCAAGGAUGCUUGCAGGCACAGAUAAUCAUCAUGCUUUGAGAGAAUCAAGGUCUUUACUCUGCCUCUUGAAAGAAAGGAGCUAACCUGUCGCCUAGCAACACCUCCCACUCCUGCUGAAGCCAGAGGAAGACUGAAGCCGUCUAUGAAACUGAUGAGAGACAUGGAGGUAAGGAGUCGGGAAUGGGCUUGACUUUCAAGAGAGGCUGAUGUAUCGUGCCACUGCGCCACUAUAUUCCCAAUAUCCAUAACCUCCAGACAGGCCGAUGAAGUUGCACCUGUCGGGGUAUUUAAAUAAUCUCGAUUUGAGCACAAUGAAUUAUCUAAUGCAUUGUGUGCGGGGAUUGAUUCAUAUAAAGUAUUGUGAGCGAGCAGAUGUAGCACUCAGACACCCACACACUACCUCCCUUCCCCAUCUCUGUCAGAGAUACUUCCCCAGCCUGCAGCCUGGUGUUUUUUUAUUCCAGUGCAGUGUAUUUUUAGAUCCAGAGCCCAGAACAGUGGGAAAACGUAGACUUUUGUUAAAGUUUUUCAUAUCUUGAGCCUUCAGUGUUGUUUGUGAAUGCUGACUACUAAUUCAUGCACAUUUUCAUUGACAAGUGUCAGUACUUGCGCACCUGCUUUGCUCUGAGUCAUUUACUUUCUUUCUUUUUUUUAAACAAACUCUUUCCACCAGGCUAUUUAUAGUCCGACAAAAGCCUUCUAUAAUUCCAUAAGGCCUUUUCUCUCUCUCUCUUGCUGUUUAAGCUCGCUACUCAAUUCUAGAUCUACAUGCCAGCACAUUGUGCUCUCACCCUCCUUUCUCUCUCUUUCUCUCUCUCUCUCU